rnacentral:rRNA from 1 species
GGGCCCGCACAAGCGGCGGAGCAUGUUGCUUAAUUCGAUGCAACGCGAAGAACCUUACCAGGGCUUGACAUCCUGCGAACCUCUGGGAAACCGGAGGGUGCCUUCGGGAACGCAGUGACAGGUGGUGCAUGGCUGUCGUCAGCUCGUGUCGUGAGAUGUUGGGUUAAGUCCCGCAACGAGCGCAACCCACGUCUUUAGUUGCCAGCAUUUAGUUGGGCACUCUAGAGAGACCGCCGGUGACAAACCGGAGGAAGGUGUGGAUGACGUCAAGUCAUCAUGCCCCUUACGUCCUGGGCUACACACGUACUACAAUGCUACGGACAAAGAGCAGCUAACUCGCGAGAGUACGCAAAUCUCAUAAACCGUGGCUCAGUUCAGAUCGUAGGCUGCAACUCGCCUACGUGAAGGCGGAAUCGCUAGUAAUCGCAGGUC